rnacentral:rRNA from 1 species
ACCUACCUUUGAGAUGGGAACAACAACGUUCCAAGUAAUUGGGGCUACCGAAAGGGUUGCUAAUUCUCAAUAAAAAUGCUGACACUUUGGUGUCGGCAGUCAAAGAAAUGGAUCUGAAAAGGUCCAUUUGCUCAGAGAGGGGUCAAUGUCCUAUCAGCUAGUUGGUAGGGUAAUGGCCUACCAAGGCGAAGACGGGUAGCCGGCCUGAGAGGGUGGUCGGCCACACUGGGACUGAGACACUGCCCAGACUCCUACGGGAGGCUGCAGUCGAGAAUCUUUCGCAAUGCCCGAAAGGGUGACGAAGCGACGCCGCGUGUGGGAUGAAGGCCUUCGGGUUGUAAACCACUGUCGGGAGUUAAGAAUUGUAGGAAUGCUAAUAGUAUUUCUACUUGACUAAGGCUCCGGAGGAAGCCACGGCUAACUCUGUGCCAGCAGCCGCGGUAAUACAGAGGCGGCAAGCGUUGUUCGGAAUUAUUGGGCGUAAAGAGCAUGUAGGCGGCUAUGUAAGUCGGUUGUGAAAGCCUUCCGCUUAACGGAAGAAUGGCGGUCGAAACUGCAUGGCUUGAGUGCGGGAGGGGAGAGUGGAACUUCUGGUGGAGCGGUGAAAUGCGUAGAUAUCAGAAGGAACGUCGGCGGCGAAAGCGACUCUCUAGACCGUAACUGACGCUGAGUGUGCGAAAGCUAGGGGAGCAAACGGGAUUAGAUACCCCGGUAGUCCUAGCCGUAAACGAUGGGCAC